rnacentral:lncRNA from 1 species
UCCGUGCCCCUGCCAGCCUCAGCUUCUGCGGCUCCCUCUGAGGGCCUCCGAAAAGAGGAAGCGAGACGUGUAUUAAACUCUUCAAUCUCUAAGCUGUGCAACUGGCAGAAGCAAAGCUCCCCAGGAAGAGUGUUUGCCAAAUGCUAGUUUGAAGACAAGGGGAGCCUGCGACUCCGAUUUCAAUGAUUUGCAAAGA